ensembl:lncRNA
CGGCGGAGGAGCAUUCACUUCCACAACUAGCUCUACAGCCAGCUCCACCCUCAAAGGGAGAGGGGAGACCUAAUAGAUCUAGAGGCAAGAGGGAUAAGCAGGAGUUAUUACCAAGGUCGAAGAAGGCCACCUCAUAUACUUACACUUAUGGUAGUGGAAGUUCCCGAAGCUCGUGUAAGAGCCACCAGGUGGAGCUCACCCCUCUGCAGGCAGCCAUGAUUGAGGAGAGGAGGAAACUUGGAGAACUGCAAGAGAUCCAAAAUCAAAUCCAAGAGGGAUGCCCUAGAUGGCCGGGCUCAAGAACUGGACAGGCAAGCACAAGCAGCUUUAAUAGAUCGAGAGAGGUUGGACAGGCAAGCACAAGCAGCUUUGACAGAGCGAGAGAGGAUGUCCCGAUCUCUGACUCUACAGCGACGACUGUGGAAAGUUCGACGAGAAUUGGACAAGACUCAGCUAAUAACCUCAUUCACCGAAGACAUGACCACAGAACAUUCACCUUCUCUGCCACCUAAGGAGCUGGCUCCUUUUUCAAUGAGCUCCAGAGUUUUGGAUUCAGUUGAACCUGUUUACCUGUUCUCAGAGCAGAAAGCUUCUUCUGUUGGUCUACCAACAUCUGUCUCUAAUCCUGUUCUAGUGGAUCAGCCAGCCACUUCUUCGUUCCAAUCCUUACCUCAGCCUGUCAAUGCUGUGAGUCAAAUUGAGACUCUCCAGUCUGUUCAAGGGAGCCACCCAGCAGUUCAGAUCUCCAGUCCGGAGCAGGCAACUCCCUCACCUCCUUUGUUCCUUUAUUUAGUGCAGACCGCAUCUCGUCCUGCCAAGAGUCAAAGACCCUUAGAUCCAGUUCCUAAAAUACCUGCACCUCUUUCCUUGCCCAAGUCCAUUGAAAGGACAUCAGAGGGAGCCAGUAUUAUGGAACUGUUAGUAGCCACUGCUUUUGGCAUUCCCAAGCCAAGACUGCCUUAUUUUGAGAGUGGAAGAGAAAGUGACUUUGUUCUGCUUAAGAUGGCAUUGGAAAACCUGUUAGAUAUUCAUGCUCACCUCUCUGAACAAUAUAAGUUCCAGGUCCUAAUGGACAACUUGAGGCUGCCUACUGCUAUAAACCUAGUCAAGUCUUAUAUGCACGCCUCAACUCCCUACAACUCUGCUCUUGCUGCCCAUAAGGCAAAGUAUGGCCAGCCAUGGCAGUUGGUCCAAAGUGAACUAGCCAGCAUCCUUUAUUCACCAUCUGUCAGUUUUGGAGAUAGCAAUGCUUUCCAGAAAUUUGCUCUUUCUGUACAGUCAUUGAUUGGUAUGCUGCGAUCAGUGGACCGUGCAGGUGGAAGUGAGUUGCAGUGUGGCCCUCAUGUCGACAGGCUACUAACCAAGCUUCCCCUUCACUAUCGGGACAGUUUCGUUGAGCACUGUUUGAAUCGUGG